GGAAGUAAAAGUCAUAACAAGGUCUCCGUAGGUGAACCUGCGGAGGGAUCAUUACAGAGUUCAUGCCCUACCGGGUAGAUCUCCCACCCUAUGUUAUUAUUACUUUGUUGCUUUGGCGGGCCGUUAGGCUCCGGCCCGACUACCGGCCCCGGCUGGUAAGCGCCCGCCAGAGGACCCAAAACCCUGAAUAUUAGUGUCGUCUGAGUACUAUAUAAUAGUUAAAACUUUCAACAACGGAUCUCUUGGUCCUG
rnacentral:misc_RNA from 1 species